rnacentral:lncRNA from 1 species
GCUUCUCCUAUCUUCUCUCUGCACUUCUUGCUGCUGCCAUGUGAAGAAGGAUGUGUUUGUAUCCCCUUCUGCCAUGAUUCUAAGUUUCCUGAAGCCUCCGUAGCCCUGCAGAACUGGACAUGGAUGAAUCUGGAAACCCUCAUUCUCAGCAAACUGACACAUGAACAGAAAACCAAACACUACAUGUUCUCACUCACAGCUCCGUGUUCAGCAAUGUCACAUUGGUAGCUUCAAAAAGGCCACGGUGGGAGAAUUUAUAUCAUGAAAACCAGCAAACACUACAAAUCAGAACUUUUUGAAAGAGAGCUGCAUUUACUAGCACACCCCUGGAUAAAAAGUCUUGGGAUUUUUUGAAAAUUUCUAAUGAAGGUCGGGUUUUUCUUUAAGGUACUCUAAAAAUUAAUCUGAUAACUUGAAUGGUUUCAAAUAGUGAAUGCUGUUCUGAAAACAAUUUAUUUGCUGGGAGGCAUGCCUAAACCUGAGAAUGAUCUAUUUUCAAGGAGACAUAAUAAAAGAAAAAAUUAGUCAAUGCUCUUAAUGUAAUCAUUUUGGGAAGUUAGCUUUGACAAGGUAACACCACAUUUAUUUAUUAUAGGAUUAUGACUUUUUCUGAAGUUCCAAUUGGGAUUACAUAUCAGUCCAUUCCCACACUUCUAUAAAGUAGUACCUAAGACUGCGUAAUUUAUGAAGAGAUUUAAUUGAUUCACAGUU